AGAGGCUUAGGAUAAUUAAACUAAGGACCUUCAAAGCCCUAAAUAGAAGUGUAACCUUCUAGCUUCUG
rnacentral:tRNA from 1 species